rnacentral:antisense_RNA from 1 species
AGAGAGACUCAGGGGAAACUAGAGCAUGAUGGCGGCCGAGGUCGCUUGGCGCAACCAUCGUCUUUUUUCUUUAUUUUUAGCUCAUUAGUGCCUUGCCUCGGCGCUGUUUCCCUAACCUCCUCUCUCCAUCCAGUACUGCCCUAUAACGGAAUCUAUACGUGCCGGCUCCUUGAUUUAUUCCCUCCGAAGUGCUGAGUGUGGGCUGGUUGUGCGUCAUUGGACUGUCAGGAUGUCACUCCCCAGUCAAAUCUUCAAGCUAUUGGUAGAACAGCAGGAAAGCCUGUCCAGCAACAAGGGCUAACACCAUUGGUUUGACUCCACUGUGUUAUUUCCUGGCACCUUAUUGGGCAAAUAGGUGCGUCAGAUCCGGAUUCGCUCUGCUACGGUUAAUUGUUUACUGGGGAUUUGGGGUCAACUCUGGUUGUUUGCCCAGUAGUUGACGAUAAUAGUGACUCCCAUGCCUAUUUUGUGCCAAGAAUUGGGCUGCUUUCUUCACAAACAUUAUCUGGUUAAACCUGGGAGUGAUGCAGUAUCCAGUUUUUAUAGAUGGGGAAUUAAGGCUGGCGAGAGCUUAGAAAACUUGCCCAAGGUCAUCCAGAUACAAAGUCAUUGGUGGGCCUGGAAUCUGGUCCUGGGUCAAACUGCAGAGACUUCACUCUUUUUAUUAUGCUUUAGUGCCUCCACCUUAGACGAUGUACUUGUCAGCCAACCCAGCAUCUUAAAAACGUUUCACUUGGAACUCAAAAAAGUCUUCAGUCAGUUUCUGGAAGUGACUUUGUUGGGGACUUACUAUGAGAGGUUGUCAUUGCCUCCACCACAUCUUUCUCCCCAGGACCCAUUCCUCUCCCCUUUAAGUUAAGGUAGACAUUUCUGCCAUCCUUUUAUGUGAAGCCUGCCCGCCACUCGCAAACCCUGACCAACCAUCUACAACUCAUUCUUUGGAGAGAGUCCUCAAGAGCUGGAAAACUAGGAGAAAUCAACUCUAAAGAGACAGACAGAAUAAAUCGUCUUAGAAAUGAAUAAUUUAUUGCAUGCAAAGAGAACAGCUCUUCAGCUCCUGGAAAUCUUCCAGGAUAUUUGAUGCUGAACAAGACGUGUGCUCCUGGCUGGUGGCCACUGGGUUCUUUCUCUGUAGCAGCAUUCAUCGAAGUGAAUCCAACAUUUCCGCCAGAGGAGGGCAGGAUGCUUAGGACCCAUUGCCAGUGAGCUUUUGCGACCGAAAUGAUCUCCAGGAGCACAAUACUGGACUCUAGCCCACAUUCCAUCUUGGAUAAUUAACAUUUUACCGUCCCAAAUCCCCAUCCCCUGUAGCUUCAGUGGGAUCACCGCCCUUGUUUCGCUUCCUGAUCCAAGCUGUUGUGUAACCUCCUUGGCACUGCUUUAAUAAUAAAACAACCAUUGUAACAUAGUAACAAUGCUCAACACUUAGAGCCUUUCAGCAAAUGAAGCCAAGGUAUUUCAUAAACGUCAA